AAAUUGAAGAGUUUGAUCAUGGCUCAGAUUGAACGCUGGCGGCAGGCCUAACACAUGCAAGUCGAGCGGUAGCACAGAGAGCUUGCUCUCGGGUGACGAGCGGCGGACGGGUGAGUAAUGUCUGGGAAACUGCCUGAUGGAGGGGGAUAACUACUGGAAACGGUAGCUAAUACCGCAUAAUGUCGCAAGACCAAAGAGGGGGACCUUCGGGCCUCUUGCCAUCAGAUGUGCCCAGAUGGGAUUAGCUAGUAGGUGGGGUAACGGCUCACCUAGGCGACGAUCCCUAGCUGGUCUGAGAGGAUGACCAGCCACACUGGAACUGAGACACGGUCCAGACUCCUACGGGAGGCAGCAGUGGGGAAUAUUGCACAAUGGGCGCAAGCCUGAUGCAGCCAUGCCGCGUGUAUGAAGAAGGCCUUCGGGUUGUAAAGUACUUUCAGCGGGGAGGAAGGUGUUGAGGUUAAUAACCUCAGCAAUUGACGUUACCCGCAGAAGAAGCACCGGCUAACUCCGUGCCAGCAGCCGCGGUAAUACGGAGGGUGCAAGCGUUAAUCGGAAUUACUGGGCGUAAAGCGCACGCAGGCGGUCUGUCAAGUCGGAUGUGAAAUCCCCGGGCUCAACCUGGGAACUGCAUUCGAAACUGGCAGGCUAGAGUCUUGUAGAGGGGGGUAGAAUUCCAGGUGUAGCGGUGAAAUGCGUAGAGAUCUGGAGGAAUACCGGUGGCGAAGGCGGCCCCCUGGACAAAGACUGACGCUCAGGUGCGAAAGCGUGGGGAGCAAACAGGAUUAGAUACCCUGGUAGUCCACGCCGUAAACGAUGUCGACUUGGAGGUUGUGCCCUUGAGGCGUGGCUUCCGGAGCUAACGCGUUAAGUCGACCGCCUGGGGAGUACGGCCGCAAGGUUAAAACUCAAAUGAAUUGACGGGGGCCCGCACAAGCGGUGGAGCAUGUGGUUUAAUUCGAUGCAACGCGAAGAACCUUACCUACUCUUGACAUCCAGAGAACUUUCCAGAGAUGGAUUGGUGCCUUCGGGAACUCUGAGACAGGUGCUGCAUGGCUGUCGUCAGCUCGUGUUGUGAAAUGUUGGGUUAAGUCCCGCAACGAGCGCAACCCUUAUCCUUUGUUGCCAGCGGUUAGGCCGGGAACUCAAAGGAGACUGCCAGUGAUAAACUGGAGGAAGGUGGGGAUGACGUCAAGUCAUCAUGGCCCUUACGAGUAGGGCUACACACGUGCUACAAUGGCGCAUACAAAGAGAAGCGACCUCGCGAGAGCAAGCGGACCUCAUAAAGUGCGUCGUAGUCCGGAUUGGAGUCUGCAACUCGACUCCAUGAAGUCGGAAUCGCUAGUAAUCGUAGAUCAGAAUGCUACGGUGAAUACGUUCCCGGGCCUUGUACACACCGCCCGUCACACCAUGGGAGUGGGUUGCAAAAGAAGUAGGUAGCUUAACCUUCGGGAGGGCGCUUACCACUUUGUGAUUCAUGACUGGGGUGAAGUCGUAACAAGGUAACCGUAGGGGAACCUGCGGUUGGAUCACCUCCUUA
rnacentral:rRNA from 1 species